UGCAGUCGACGGAAGGCCCUUCGGGGUACUCGAGUGGCGAACGGGUGAGUAACACGUGGGUGAUCUGCCCUGCACUUUGGGAUAAGCCUGGGAAACUGGGUCUAAUACCGGAUAGGACCACGCGCUUCAUGGUGUGUGGUGGAAAGCUUUUGCGGUGUGGGAUGGGCCCGCGGCCUAUCAGCUUGUUGGUGGGGUAAUGGCCUACCAAGGCGACGACGGGUAGCCGGCCUGAGAGGGUGACCGGCCACACUGGGACUGAGAUACGGCCCAGACUCCUACGGGAGGCAGCAGUGGGGAAUAUUGCACAAUGGGCGCAAGCCUGAUGCAGCGACGCCGCGUGAGGGAUGACGGCCUUCGGGUUGUAAACCUCUUUCAAUAGGGACGAAGCGCAAGUGACGGUACCUAUAGAAGAAGGACCGGCCAACUACGUGCCAGCAGCCGCGGUAAUACGUAGGGUCCGAGCGUUGUCCGGAAUUACUGGGCGUAAAGAGCUCGUAGGUGGUUUGUCGCGUUGUUCGUGAAAACUCACAGCUUAACUGUGGGCGUGCGGGCGAUACGGGCAGACUAGAGUACUGCAGGGGAGACUGGAAUUCCUGGUGUAGCGGUGGAAUGCGCAGAUAUCAGGAGGAACACCGGUGGCGAAGGCGGGUCUCUGGGCAGUAACUGACGCUGAGGAGCGAAAGCGUGGGGAGCGAACAGGAUUAGAUACCCUGGUAGUCCACGCCGUAAACGGUGGGUACUAGGUGUGGGUUUCCUUCCUUGGGAUCCGUGCCGUAGCUAACGCAUUAAGUACCCCGCCUGGGGAGUACGGCCGCAAGGCUAAAACUCAAAGGAAUUGACGGGGGCCCGCACAAGCGGCGGAGCAUGUGGAUUAAUUCGAUGCAACGCGAAGAACCUUACCUGGGUUUGACAUGCACAGGACGCCAGUAGAGAUAUUGGUUCCCUUGUGGCCUGUGUGCAGGUGGUGCAUGGCUGUCGUCAGCUCGUGUCGUGAGAUGUUGGGUUAAGUCCCGCAACGAGCGCAACCCUUGUCUCAUGUUGCCAGCACGUUAUGGUGGGGACUCGUGAGAGACUGCCGGGGUCAACUCGGAGGAAGGUGGGGAUGACGUCAAGUCAUCAUGCCCCUUAUGUCCAGGGCUUCACACAUGCUACAAUGGCCGGUACAAAGGGCUGCGAUGCCGUGAGGUGGAGCGAAUCCUUUCAAAGCCGGUCUCAGUUCGGAUCGGGGUCUGCAACUCGACCCCGUGAAGUCGGAGUCGCUAGUAAUCGCAGAUCAGCAACGCUGCGGUGAAUACGUUCCCGGGCCUUGUACACACCGCCCGUCACGUCAUGAAAGUCGGUAACACCCGAAGCCGGUGGCCUAACCC
rnacentral:rRNA from 1 species